rnacentral:tRNA from 1 species
GCCGCCGUAGCUCAGCUGGGAGAGCGCCCGGCUGAAGACCGGGCGGUCGGGGGUUCAAGUCCCCCCGGCGGCACCA